rnacentral:rRNA from 1 species
ACGGGAGGCAGCAGUGGGGAAUAUUGGACAAUGGGGGAAACCCUGAUCCAGCCAUACCGCGUGUGUGAAGAAGGCCUUCGGGUUGUAAAGCACUUUCAGUGGGGAGGAAAAGGUUCUGGCUAAUAUCCAGGAUCCGUGACGUUACCUACAGAAGAAGCACCGGCAAGCUCCGUGCCAGCAGCCGCGGUAAU